rnacentral:rRNA from 1 species
CCUACGGGAGGCAGCAGUGAGGAAUAUUGGGCAAUGGCCGGAAGGCUGAACCAGCCAAGCCGCGUGAAGGACGAAGGUGCCAAGCAUUGUAAACUUCUUUUGUCAAGGGACAAAAUCAGGCUCGAGAGCCUGACCGAGGGUACUUGAAGAAAAAGCAUCGGCAAACUCCGUGCCAGCAGCCGCGGUAAUACGGGGGAUGCGAGCGGUAUACGGAUUUAUGGGGUGUAAUGGGUGCGUAGGCGGACUGUUAAGUCAGCGGUAAAAGCCCGGGGCUCAACCCCGGCGAGCCGUUGAAACUGGCUGUCUUGAGAUGUCGAGAGGUAUGCGGAAUGCGCAGUGUAGCGGUGAAAUGCUUAGAUAUUGGGCAGAACUCCGAUUGCGAAGGCAGCAUACCGGCGGCGAUCUGACGCUGAGGCACGAAAGCGUGGGUAUCGAACAGGAUUAGAUACCCCAGUAGUC